rnacentral:rRNA from 1 species
CGGGGAAUACGUUCUCGGGUCUUGUACACACCGCCCGUCAAGUGAGCCGAGUCGGGAAUGGCCGAAGUACCGUUAUGGUCCUAAGCCAAGUCCGGCGAGGAGCGCU